GACGCUGCGGACUUAAAAUCCGUUGGCUUUAUAGACCGUGAGG
rnacentral:tRNA from 1 species